rnacentral:rRNA from 1 species
AGUGAACGCUGGCGGUAUGCCUAACACAUGCAAGUCGAACGGCAGCACAGUAAGAUCUUGCCCUUACGGGUGGCGAGUGGCGGACGGGUGAGGAAUACAUCGCAAUCUACUUUUUCGUGGGUGAUAUCGUAGGAAAACUUACGCUAAUACCGCACACUACCUACGGGUGAAUGCAAGGGAUCUUGGUACCUUUCGCGAUUGAAUUAGCCGAUGUCGUAUUAUCUAGUUGGCAGGGUAAAGUCCCACCAAGGCGACGAUCCGUAGCGGGCCUGAGAGGGUGAUCAGCCACACCGGAACUGAGACACGGUCCAGACUCCUACGGGAGGCAGCAGUGGGGAAUAUUCGGCAAUGGGCGCAAGCCUGACGGAGCAAUACCGCGUGGGUGAAGAAGGCCUUCGGGUUGUAAAACUCUUUUGUUGGGGAAGAAAAGCAGCAGGUUUAACUCUCCCUAUUUUGACGGUACCCAAAGAAUAAGCCACGGCUAACUUCGUG